rnacentral:rRNA from 1 species
UACGUAGGGUGCGAGCGUUAAUCGGAAUUACUGGGCGUAAAGCGUGCGCAGGCGGUUCCGCAAGUCAGCUGUGAAAUCCCCGGGCUUAACCUGGGAAUUGCGGUUGAAACUACAGGGCUAGAAUCUGGCAGAGGGGGGUGGAAUUCCACGUGUAGCAGUGAAAUGCGUAGAGAUGUGGAGGAACACCGAUGGCGAAGGCAGCCCCCUGGGCUGAGAUUGACGCUCAGGCACGAAAGCGUGGGGAGCAAACAGG